AGCAUAUUGGGAGCAGAGCAAAGAUAAUUUUUUCUCCUGUUUCUACAGUCAUGAGGAUUACAAAAUCGCUUUUUCUCCUUGUAAUCAAAAACUGGAGUUCUCAGGAGAUUUUUCAGUCUCAUGGAGCUUGGCCUUUAUGAAAACUUCCAGGCACAACAAGAUUCAUGCAAUGUUAUGGGAAUUGGCAACUUGGAGGUUCUGCAACCACUUCUCCCUCACAGGUUUUGUGAGAGUCCACCCCAGUGCAGGUGACAAAAAGGAGCCUCAGGUGAUGGGAAGGGCAGCCAUGACUUCAGCUGAUUAUGUCCAGGAUAGGAGCAAGUCUCAGCUAGAGCCUGGCCCUUGGCAACUUUCUUCUGUGCAGUGCUUUAGAAGAGGGCAGGGGGAGAGGGUCAUCCUCUCAUGCCCAGCUCUGGUUCAAUUUCAAAUACUCAGCUGGACUGAGAGUAUGGAUGGCUCUGCAAAUUGAGCUUGGAGGAACCCUUAAUUUAUAUGUCAUGACACAUUUACUGCCUGAAAUAACUAGAUUUGGUUAGGAAAAGAAAGGUGCCUACACAGACACUUUUCUAUAAGCAAAAGCAAGAGAAUGUUCCUUUGGUGGGGAUAACCACCAUCCACACUCCUCAUCUCCAUAAGGAUGGAGAUGUCCAUGUCCCUCAAGACUGAGGAAACUGGUCUUUGUACAAGAGCAGUCCUUUUUUCUUCCUCGUCCCUCAGCAACCCAAAACACACCCAUCAAAAUAAGGAGGCAGCCUGAGGCUGCACUGUCAUUGCUUAGAGAAAUAUUUAAUUCAUAUUUCAGUGUUUGUCUGGCGCUAGACAAAAUCAGGAACUCAACAGACACAUAACAAGCCGCCUUCUAUUUCCUCUAGGUCCUACUAUGAUCCUUCUUAGCUUUGCAGACAAUUCAAUCAUACAUGCAUUAUCCCUUAAGAGAAUGACAAUUUUUUUAAAAACCCCACACUUUUAACUCAGUCAGUAGCUAAAUUGACAAGAAUAUGCAUGCUUUCAGAAAGCAGGUGUGACUAGAUGAGGAUUAAACAAAAAUUAAAUGAAAUUGUUUUAUUAUGAUAUUUUUAAUUCCUUUCUCAGUGGUGGCCAGUGAUUCUGUUUCACAGUAGGAAGUCAUAUUUCAGCAACAAAUUCACAGGACUGGAAAUUAAUAGCUGCCCUUUUUCAGUGCUAUCUUAAAAGCCUCUAAUUUCACCUCUGUUUUCUCACCCUCUGGGUUUUCUGGUUAGUUUACCUUAACGGUAAA